GACGAACCGUGCGACCGUUGUUCGGAAUCACUGGGCAUAAAGGGCGCGUAGGCGGCUUUUCAAGUCAGGGGUGAAAUCCGGCAGCUCAACUGUCGAAGUGCCCUUGAUACUGAUGAGCUCGAGGGAGGUAGGGGUGUGUGGAACUUCCGGUGGAGCGGUGAAAUGCGUUGAUAUCGGAAGGAACGCCGGUGGCGAAAGCGACGCACUGGACCUCUUCUGACGCUGAGGCGCGAAAGCUAGGGGAGCAAACGGG
rnacentral:rRNA from 1 species